UUCAAGCAUGUACCACACUGGGCUUAAACCUAUAUUCUUAAUCAUGAACUUCCUAAGAGAGUAGUAAUGAUAACCCUUCCAUAUUAAACGGAAGAUGUAUGAAGAGCUGUCAAGGAUGUUGUAGAUAUCAUCCUUUUAUAUUCAUAAGAUUCCUUAUAUCACGGCUUAUAGACUUCUGGCUUUCAACAGUAAUAUGUGUGAGUAAUAUGAGACAACAGAAGAGCUGAGGACAAGGACCGUGACUUGUACCAAAGAGUCGCAUACCGUGGAGAAACCUCAGAUUCUGUGUGCUAAAUCGAUUGCAGAGGACUGGGUACCAGUUGCCCAAUAUGAGACCGGGCUGGGAGCACCUUGGGAUCUCAACUGCAGCAGCAACCUUGUGACUGCACACUGAGGAGGUAGCCGGCACCUGACCAGGCUCUGUGUGUUCCUCCUUCAGCUCCCAGAAUUCAAAACUCUAGUCUUUUAUAUCCAGAGUAAAAGAUACAUCAUCACCUCUAUUUUUAAUUGAAACUUCUCCAGGAGAAAUGGCUAGUACCACCAGCAAGGACAUGACUCUUUUCGAUUACAAAAUAAAUGGAAAUUGAAGAUAUGUCACAAUGUAUCCAGUAGAACUUGCACAAAGCAAAAUAAUUCUUCAACUCUGGGAUGAAAGGAUGAGCUCCCUCUGUGAUCAUCACUCUCUAGGAUUGAAGAAUUCAUGGCUUCAUGAUAUUCUGGUGGGAUUGUGACUAAACAAGAAGAAGAUUUGCAUAAAUAUUGUGA